rnacentral:rRNA from 1 species
CCUACGGGAGGCAGCAGUGGGGAAUAUUGCGCAAUGGGCGAAAGCCUGACGCAGCGACGCCGCGUGAGGGAUGAAGGUCUUCGGAUCGUAAACCUCUGUCAGCAGGGAAGAACGGUCACUGUGCUAAUCAGCAGUGAAUUGACGGUACCUGCAAAGGAAGCACCGGCUAACUCCGUGCCAGCAGCCGCGGUAAUACGGAGGGUGCGAGCGUUCAUCGGAAUUACUGGGCGUAAAGCGCUCGUAGGCGGCAUGUCAAGUCAAGGGUGAAAUCCCCGCGCUCAACGUGGGAACUGCCUUUGAAACUGGCAAACUGGAGUGUGUGAGAGGAUAGUGGAAUUCCAGGUGGAGGAGUGAAAUGCGUAGAUAUCUGGAGGAACAUCAGUGGCGAAGGCGACUAUCUGGCACAUAACUGACGCUGAGGAGCGAAAGCGUGGGUAGCAAACAGGAUUAGAUACCCCAGUAGUC